rnacentral:misc_RNA from 1 species
AAGUCGUAACAAGGUUUCCGUAGGUGAACCUGCGGAAGGAUCAUUAACACGUAUCCACGUAUCAACCCUUGUGCUCUUUGUUCUUGGAAUUGUGGAAUAUCAAUUGAGGUGAGAGCGAGUAACUUUUUCUUUCGGGAGAAGGGAACUUGUGAUUGUCUCUGUUGACGUUUCCAAAAAUCUAACCCCUUCAUUAUUUUCUUUAAACCCUUUGUACCUUUCUUACUGAAACUUGAUUGUCUUUUGAUUUCGCGAAAGGCUUCGGCUUUUUUGUGGAAUGAAAAACAAUUAUUUUACGAAAUGCUUGACAACUCUUAGCAACGGAUAUCUUGGUUCUC